UAUUAAAUAUUACAAAACUAUAGUUUAUUUUUAUUUAAAGACAAUUAUAUAUUAUGAUUUAUCAGUUUAUAAUUGGACAAUUGGUCGGCAGUUUAGUGCUUAUAUAUCAUUUACAAAUGGCAAAACUACAGGUCCCAAUUUACCAAUUCAGGGGCCUAUUAUAAUUUAAAAUAUUGGGCCCUUAUAUUAUUAAAUAAAAUUGUUUAGGUUAUAGGUAGGACCGACAAUUAUAUGCCCAAAAACCUAUUAAAUAUGUAUGCAGUUUUUUUUCUAAUAAUUACCAAAAUAUACUCUAAAAACAAAAAAAAGGCGAGUAACGUUCUGCUGCACCGGGUCAGGUAACAAAAUAAAUAACACAAUGAAGUAAAAUAAAUUGGUAAAUUUUAUGAUUUUCUUAUUAUCGCGAAAGCACUUUAUCCAAUGUAACGAAAUGCCGCUGCCGUUAAGUUAAUAUAGCCAUAGGUUAAGUAUAAUAUACUUAUAAUAGGUUUAUUUAAAUAAUGUAAAAACCGAAAUAAAUUAAUACGAAAAAAAUAAUGUAGUAAAAAAUUAUAUCGAUAUGUAUAUCAACGCAUAUGCAAUAAAUUAUUACCAUAAUAUUAUAAUGAGUAACUCACGUUAAAAAAAACAUAAAAAAUAUUAAAUGCUGUAUUAAAUUUUCGAAAUUAAAUUUUUCAUGAUAGAUAUUACUCGUCUUUUCAAUAGACAUUUUAGUCAUUUUACAAUAUUCAAAAUAAUAUUACCUGUUUGUGAGCUAUCUUCGUGUCCGAAGUAUUUGAAUGUCUGAAUAAGAAUUUCCUGUUGAGCAAUUAUAGCCCAACACCAAGACAUUAACAGUAUGUCUGGUAUUAUCAUUGAGUACAUAAUACAGGAUAACGCAAGUUCAUAAUGUUCUGUUGGCGGAUAUUUUCGUCUUCAGGUGCUGUGAACGCAAUAAGCACGAGAGGAAAUAGUACCCACUGUGACAUCACUGUCGACGAGAAUACGAAAAAAGGAAUCAAUGUAACUCAAAGUAUCUUCCAUCUUCACAAAAAAUCCUAAAGAACUGUAAACGACAAUUCCGUUCACUAAUACCAAUAAUAUAAUCAAUAAUAGCCGG